CCUANGGGCGGCAGCAGUGAGGAAUAUUGCGCAAUGGGGGCAACCCUGACGCAGCAACGCCGCGUGAGUGAGGAAGGUUUUCGGACCGUAAAGCUCUGUCGAGCGGGAAGAAAUGCAUGGUGGCUAAUAUCCAUCUUGCUUGACGGUACCGCUAAAGGAAGCACCGGCUAACUCCGUGCCAGCAGCCGCGGUAAUACGGGGGGUGCUAGCGUUGUUCGGAAUCAUUGGGCGUAAAGAGCGUGUAGGCGGCUGGAUAAGUCAGAUGUGAAAGCCCUGGGCUUAACCCAGGAAGUGCAUUUGAAACUGUUCAGCUAGAGUAAGGGAGAGGAAAGUGGAAUUCCUGGUGUAGAGGUGAAAUUCGUAGAUAUCAGGAGGAACACCGGUGGCGAAGGCGACUUUCUGGCCCUAUACUGACGCUGAGACGCGAGAGCGUGGGUAGCAAACAGGAUUAGAUACCCGUNUANUC
rnacentral:rRNA from 1 species